GUGAGUAGUUCAGAGUUUGAUCCUGGCUCAGGAUGAACGCUAGCGGCAGGCUUAACACAUGCAAGUCGAGGGGCAGCAUGAGACGGAGAUUCGUCAAAGUCUUGAUGGCGACCGGCGCAAGGGUGCGUAACGCGUGAGCAACUUGCCCGUUUCUGGGGAAUAACCGGUGGAAACGCCGACUAAUACCCCAUAGUAUGUCCGAGAGGCAUCUUUUGGACAUUAAAGAAUUUCGGAAACGGAUAGGCUCGCGUGACAUUAGCUAGAUGGCGGGGUAACGGCCCACCAUGGCGACGAUGUCUAGGGGUUCUGAGAGGAAGGUCCCCCACACUGGAACUGAGACACGGUCCAG
rnacentral:rRNA from 1 species